rnacentral:rRNA from 1 species
UGGCGGACGGGUGAGUAACGCGUGGGCAACCUGGCCUGUACAGGGGGAUAACACUUAGAAAUAGGUGCUAAUACCGCAUAACGGGAGAAGCCGCAUGGCUUUUUCCUUGAAAACUCCGGUGGUACAGGAUGGGCCCGCGUCUGAUUAGCCAGUUGGCAGGGUAACGGCCUACCAAAGCGACGAUCAGUAGCCGGCCUGAGAGGGCGGACGGCCACACUGGGACUGAGACACGGCCCAGACUCCUACGGGAGGCAGCAG